rnacentral:ncRNA from 1 species
ACAGGUUAGUUUUACCCUACUGAUGGAGUGUUAUCGUAAUAGUAAUUGAACUUAGUACGAGAGGAACCGUUCAUUCAGAUAUUUGGUAUUUGCGCCUGUCCGAUCGG